rnacentral:rRNA from 1 species
UACGUAGGGGGCUAGCGUUGUUCGGAAUUACUGGGCGUAAAGCGCACGUAGGCGGCUUUGUAAGUUAGCGGUGAAAGCCCAGGGCUUAACCCUGGAAUUGCCUUUAAGACUGCAUCGCUAGAAUUGUGGAGAGGUAAGUGGAAUUCCGAGUGUAGAGGUGAAAUUCGUAGAUAUUCGGAAGAACACCAGUGGCGAAGGCGACUUACUGGACACAUAUUGACGCUGAGGUGCGAAAGCGUGGGGAGCAAACAGG